CUUAUAAACGUCAAAUGCUUGUCAACGCCGUACAGAACUAUUAUUUUAUUUUCCAUGAUAUUCGACUGAAAAUAAGAAUAAAAAAUUUCCAAUUCAAUAAUUCUGAAUGGGCGUGAGUAAGCAAUACUUUUCAAUUCGACGAAUAAAGUGAAUAUUUAUCAUUUAUCAUUGUCCAGUGGCUAAAUUUAGAAUUGGUAUGUGAUAUAUUGAAAUAUGGAACAUAUUCUUCAGUUGAAUGAUGAAAUAUUUAUUGCAUUGAGCAUUUGAAUCAAAGGUGAGAGAUAGUCUUACUGUCAAUAAUGAUCAACUUA